rnacentral:rRNA from 1 species
ACUCCUACGGGAGGCAGCAGUGGGGAAUCUUGCACAAUGGGCGAAAGCCUGAUGCAGCAACGCCGCGUGCGGGAAGAAGGCCCUAGGGUUGUAAACCGCUUUCAGCAGGGAAGAAGAUGACGGUACCUGUAGAAGAAGGUGCGGCCAACUACGUGCCAGCAGCCGCGGUGACACGUAGGCACCAAGCGUUGUCCGGAUUUAUUGGGCGUAAAGAGCUCGUAGGCGGUUCGGUAAGUCGGGUGUGAAAACUCUGGGCUCAACCCAGAGCCGCCACCCGAUACUGCUGUGACUCGAGUGCGGUAGGGGAGCGGGGAAUUCCUGGUGUAGCGGUGAAAUGCGCAGAUAUCAGGAGGAACACCAGUGGCGAAGGCGCCGCUCUGGGCCGUGACUGACGCUGAGGAGCGAAAGCGUGGGUAGCAAACAGGAUUAGAUACCCUGGUAGCUACGAGU